CCGUUGCUAGCUUAGCUGGUAGAGCAUCCGGCUUUUAACCGGAGGGUCGAUGGUUCGAAUCCAUCGCGGCGCA
rnacentral:tRNA from 1 species